GAUGAACGCUAGCGGCAGGCUUAACACAUGCAAGUCGAGGGGUAGAGGAAGCUUGCUUCCUUGAGACCGGCGCACGGGUGCGUAACGCGUAUGCAACCUACCUUUUACAGAGGGCUAGCCCAGAGAAAUUUGGAUUAAUACCUCAUAGUAUAUAGUCUUCGCAUGUUGACUAUAUUAAGGUUCCAACGGUAAAAGAUGGGCAUGCGUCCUAUUAGCUAGAUGGUAAGGUAACGGGUUACCAUGGCAACGAUAGGUAGGGGUCCUGAGAGGGAGAUCACCCACACUGGUACUGAGACACGGACCAGACUCCUACGGGAGGCAGCAGUGAGGAAUAUUGGACAAUGGGCGCAAGCCUGAUCCAGCCAUGCCGCGUGCAGGAAGAAGCAUCUAUGGUGUGUAAACUGCUUUUGUACGGGAAGAAACACUCCCUCGUGAGGGAGCUUGACGGUACCGUAAGAAUAAGGAUCGGCUAACUCCGUGCCAGCCGCCGCCGUAAAAC
rnacentral:rRNA from 1 species